GGGGCUAUAGCUCAGCUGGAAGAGCGUCUGGUUUGCAUCCAGAAGGCCAGGGGUUCGAGUCCCCUUAGCUCCA
rnacentral:tRNA from 1 species